rnacentral:rRNA from 1 species
GUCCGUGGGCUACACACACGCUACAAGUGGUCAGCACAAGUGGGCUGCGAUGGGGUGACCCGGAGCGAAUCCCACAAAACCGGCCCCAGUUCGGAUCGAAGGCUGCAACUCGCCUUCGUGAAGUCGGAGUUGCUAGUAAUCGCGGAUCAGCAUGCCGCGGUGAAUACGUUCCCGGGCCUU